UCACGAUUCCAUUCUGCAAGGAAUAGAGAGCAAGGAUUUCUGCAUAGAAAACCAUCAUAUCAUGCACAUAUAUAAAUAUUUUGAAAACUAAUAAACCUUUUUCAUUUUUGAAACACAUGCAUAUCAAGAGAGUACAAUGGUCCUUGAGUAGUUGAGUUCCUUGUCUAAGUGUACUUAAUUAAUGUCUCUCUUCCAGGCUCCAAUUAAGCUGGCCAAUCGUAUUGAUGAGAUUAUGCGUGAUUUUUCUUGGGGGUACCAAGGAGGUUCAUCAUUAUUAUUCAGUUGGCUAGGACAGUUUGCGCUCCUAAGUUACAGGGUAGGCUGGGGAUUUUAGAAGCUUAACAAAAACUGUGUGGGUGCUAUGGAUGAUAAACUACAAAUAGUGCUAAUAUAACAGUUGAAUAUUCAAACAAAUCAAACAAUAUACAGAAAGUAAAUAACACACAGAAAUUUUUAACGUGGUAAAACCCAAUAAGGGAAACGUCCACGGUUGUCCUCGCGACAACAAAUAAUCCACUAGAUGAAAGAGAUUUACAAACCUACCAACUACCUGCACUCACUGCGAGCUGAUACUCCUGAUUAUCUCUAACACCUUGACUUCACCAGAGCACCUUGAUGUACGCACAAGACACUCGACUUCUUGAUGAACACACAAGAAGACUCGAAGCCGAAUUCACAAUGAAACUUGGAAGAUAACAGAUUUAUGAAUUGAGAGAAGGAGGAAGGAAGGGAAUUGAGUUCAAUAACCAAAAACACUUUCAACACCAAAACCUAAACCAAAACUCCAGAACAAGAGGAAUACUGGACGGCCAAAGAACUAACCUAUUCUUUGGAAGAGAAACUCUAUUUAUACUUAGGGUUGGAGAACACAGAAAAUAGGCCGAAAUAGAGAAAAUCCCCAUUGGACGUACGUACGUCGAUAUGACGUUCGUACGUCUCCAUCCGAAACAACUUGUUGACUGCUUGGACGUACGAACGUCCUAACAAGGUACGUACGUCCAGACCAAAAACUUUCCUGCUGCCUAACCAUACGUACGUACGUCCUAACAUGGUACGUACGUUUACCACAAUGAGAGUUCUGCUGCCUAACCUGACGUACGUACGUCCUAACAAGGUAUGUACGUCCUGAACCAAAAACAACCUUUUGACACGAGACACGAAGACAAAGACACAGGAUGACACGCGUACAACAAGGUUUUCUUAACAAUGAACUCAAAGCGAAAUAACCAUGGACGACCAAUGUCACAAAAUUGAUGUCAAACAACUUAGAGCCGGUUUCAAUGGAGGAACAAGAGGUUCUUUGAUCACAAGAAGAAGGAACCUUGUAAACUUUUAAUUUAAAUGAAAGAAACAUUGUUUGAUUGGUCUAUAUGGGUCGUGGAUUUUAGAAGCUUAGGUUUUCAAGAUCUUGUUUCUAAGUGGGAUGAUCUCGUUUUGUAAGGGGGCAAUAUUGUGCCAUUAGUUACUUGUUAGUGGGCAAUUAUCCAUCACCAAGUUGUAAUCCACAAGUUUAUGGAAUGAAAUAUAACCUUUAUUGAUAAAAAAUAAAAUAAAAUCCAAGCGGUUGGAUUUGGGGGAGAGCAUGAUCAUUUGUGGAGACGCACUGUUGUCUCUACUCUCUAGGCAUAUGACCCCUUAACUGAAUUUGGUCUUUCACAGCUUUAUCUCACUAAUAAACUUCUUUUAUUCACUUCUCUCUAUUAUAUAACAGCUUGAAUUUAGACGUUACUUUUUUUCUUCAAACAGGGAAAACAAACCUAUAGAAUAAAUAGGCAACAAAACCAAUUGAACAAAGACAAAAAGUAUUAUUAGAUAGUAGAAACAUUACACACACAUACAAAAAUUUUACAGUUACAGUUGAGCACAAUGGUAAACUUACUAAUGGGAUCCUUCCGCCCUAACAUCGUCAUAAAAAUCUGGAGACACGGAACAGAUACACUCCACAUCUAUUGAGAAAAAAAAUAAAAAGCAUCAUGCCACUGUCAAGACCCUAACUUACUUGAUAUUCAAUAAUUAUUAUUUCUGAAAACACUAACCUUUCAGUUUAUCUGCAAUCUCCUUGUCAACAUAAGCGCCAAAACCCAAUACAUCCGGAUGACACGAAAUAACGUAAAUUCUCUUUUUUGCUUCUUUUCCACUGAAGAGAAGUCAAAAUUUGCAAUUUAUUAGAAAAUGGUGUAAUAGAAAUCAAUUAAACAAAAG
rnacentral:lncRNA from 1 species